rnacentral:rRNA from 1 species
UACGUAGGAGGCGAGCGUUAUCCGGAUUUAUUGGGCGUAAAGAGGACGCGGGCGGUUUCUUAAGUCUGGUGUGAAAUCUCUCGGCUUAACUGAGAGGAGUCAUCAGAUACUGGGAAACUUGAGGGCAGCAGGGGGAGAUGGAAUUCCCGGUGUAGCGGUGAAAUGCGUUGAUAUCGGGAGGAACACCAGUGGCGAAGGCGGUCUCCUGGGCUGUCCCUGACGCUGAGGUCCGAAAGCGUGGGGAG